rnacentral:rRNA from 1 species
GACGAACGCUGGCGGCGUGCUUAACACAUGCAAGUCGAACGGAAAGGCCCUGCUUUUGUGGUGUGCUCGAGUGGCGAACGGGUGAGUAACACGUGAGUAACCUGCCUUUGACUUUGGGAUAACUUCAGGAAACUGGGGCUAAUACCGGAUAGGAGCUCCUUCUGCAUGGUGGGGGUUGGAAAGUUUCGGCGGUUGGGGAUGGACUCGCGGCUUAUCAGCUUGUUGGUGGGGUAGUGGCUUACCAAGGCUUUGACGGGUAGCCGGCCUGAGAGGGUGACCGGCCACAGGGGGACUGAGAGACGGAGAAGACUGCGACGGGAGGCAGUGGGGAGGAAUAUAGAAAGAGGGGAGGAAGGAUGAAGCAGCGACGCCGGGUGGAGGAUGACGGUCUGGUGGUAGGAAACGGCUUGCGACGGUGAAGAAGAGGGAGUGACGGUAAUGGGAAAAGAAGCACCGGCUAACUACGUG